rnacentral:lncRNA from 1 species
AGGCAGGGCCUCUGCAAGUGAGAUGCAGAUCCAGCCUGUUGGCCACUUAGCACUUGCUUGGCCGCCUGCAGAUCACCUGACCUCUGCUCACCUGUAAAUGGGGGUUGCAGCAGCACUUACCUUCUGGGACUCCUGCAGCUUGAAGGGGCAGCACACACCACAUGCUGAGAAGGCGCCUAACUCAGGCAAGCUUCUCCAACAGCACCACAUCAGAUUAACAUCCAACCUGUACAGGACAUCAAAUCUCCCCAUCCCUCAUUCCAAUGGAAGAAAAGGGAGUCUCUGUCCUAGGGGAGCAAGCACAGGCCUAUCUAUGCAGUUGGCAGUUGGCACUUGACCCAGGUUGGGGAAAGGCCCUUGGAUACAUGCUGGUUUCACCAACCAUCUGUGGGUUGGGUUUGGCCUGGACCCAUGUACCCCAGGAGGCCAGCAGCCCCCUGCAUGGGACAGGACUGGGAGGUGUGUGGGAGGGCUGAGCUUUGAGGGAAGCCAUUAUUUGGCCUCAUGGGAAGUGGUGCAGGUGGUUGUUGGUGGCUCAGUUUUGCAGGGCCUGGGUGAUCACCCAAGGAGUGAAAAUUGCCUUUUUAUGAGAAAUUGCCAAAACUGAUGCAAGCUCAUCCGUUGAAAAGGAAGGUAGAAAUAUCGUUUGACUUCUGUUUUGCUGACAAGAAAUAUGGUCCUGAGCAAGGCUCCCUGGGACAAUGACCUCACACAUGGAAAACGCUGGAGCCCAUCUGUCUCCAAUCUGCUGUUUUCCAAAAAUUAGGGAACUUCAGUUUUCCCUUUGAUACUCUGUAUUUCUACCAACCACAACGCCAGGGCUGUCCUGCUUCUACAAGUGACAAUGACAAAUAUAGGCCUGAAGGAAGAUGAGCUGAUGGCAUUCCCAGCUUACUACCACUCCUUGGGUGCCUUAUCUCACAUACGUGGAUUCAACUCAUAGACUCAGCCAUGAGAUGACACAGCCAGAAGGCCCUCACGAGAUGCAGACCCCUCAUCCUUGGAUUUCCUAGCCUCCAGAACUCUAAGA